UACGGGGGGGGCAAGCGUUGUUCGGAAUUACUGGGCGUAAAGGGCUCGUAGGUGGCCAACUAAGUCAGACGUGAAAUCCCCAGGCUUAACCUGGGAACUGCGUCUGAUACUGGAUGGCUUGAAUUCGGGAGAGGGAUGCAGAAUUCCAGGUGUAGCGGUGAAAUGCGUAGAUAUCUGGAGGAACACCGGUGGCGAAGGCGGCGUUCUGGACUGCAACUGACACUGAGGAACGAAAGCCAGGGGAGCAAACGGG
rnacentral:rRNA from 1 species